AUUGAACGCUGGCGGCAGGCCUAACACAUGCAAGUUGAGCGGUAGAGAGAAGCUUGCUUCUCUUGAGAGCGGCGGACGGGUGAGUAAUGCCUAGGAAUCUGCCUGGUAGUGGGGGAUAACGUUCGGAAACGGACGCUAAUACCGCAUACGUCCUACGGGAGAAAGCAGGGGACCUUCGGGCCUUGCGCUAUCAGAUGAGCCUAGGUCGGAUUAGCUAGUUGGUGAGGUAAUGGCUCACCAAGGCGACGAUCCGUAACUGGUCUGAGAGGAUGAUCAGUCACACUGGAACUGAGACACGGUCCAGACUCCUACGGGAGGCAGCAGUGGGGAAUAUUGGACAAUGGGCGAAAGCCUGAUCCAGCCAUGCCGCGUGUGUGAAGAAGGUCUUCGGAUUGUAAAGCACUUUAAGUUGGGAGGAAGGGUUGUAGAUUAAUACUCUGCAAUUUUGACGUUACCGACAGAAUAAGCACCGGCUAACUCUGUGCCAGCAGCCGCGGUAAUACAGAGGGUGCAAGCGUUAAUCGGAAUUACUGGGCGUAAAGCGCGCGUAGGUGGUUUGUUAAGUUGGAUGUGAAAUCCCCGGGCUCAACCUGGGAACUGCAUUCAAAAACUGACUGACUAGAGUAUGGUAGAGGGUGGUGGAAUUUCCUGUGUAGUGGUGAAAUGCGUAGAUAUAGGAAGGCACACCAGUGGCGAAGGCGACCACCUGGACUAAUACUGAUCCUGGGGUGCCAAAACCGUGGGGAGAAAACACG
rnacentral:rRNA from 1 species